UGGCAAAAAGAGUCCUGUCCCAGCACUGCCUGGGUAAGAUAAAGGCUCGUCAUCUGUGCAUGCGUUUAUCCGAGUGGAACGUGAGUCCUGGGGGCUGCUGCCACCGCGCCGGUCCCUCCUGUAAUCCAAGCCCGUGUCAGAGGACGCGGCGCCUGCAAGGCAAAAGGGUUGCAGCAGGUGUGGCCAGAUCCUCUAGACAAGAGGUGUGGAUUCAGAUCCUACCAGUCUUACUCCUGAUGAAGUUAGGCAAAUCAGUUGGCUCUGGAGUAAUUAGUAGCCGCUUCCUCAUUGACCAUUGCAAGGAAAUACCAGUGAACUUGAGUUUCUCCAGUGAAGGUGAUCACAGUGAUGAAUGACUUGGCUUCUGCACAGCAAAAGACAUGAUCACCAGAGCGAACAGACAACCUACAGAAUGGGAGAGCAUUUGUGCAAUCUAUCCGUCUGACAAAAGUCUAAAAUCCAAAGUUUACAAAUAACUUAAACAAAUUUACAAGAAAAAAACA
rnacentral:lncRNA from 1 species